rnacentral:rRNA from 1 species
CCUACGGGUGGCAGCAGUGGGGAAUAUUGGGCAAUGGGCGCAAGCCUGACCCAGCAACGCCGCGUGAAGGAAGAAGGCUUUCGGGUUGUAAACUUCUUUCGACAGGGAAGAGCAGAAGACGGUCCCUUUCGAAUAAGCCACGGCUAACUACGUGCCAGCAGCCGCGGUAAUACGUAGGUGGCAACCGUUGUCCGGAUUUACUGGGUGUAAAGGGCGGGUAGCCGGGCUGACAAGUCAGUUGUGAAAUCCGCGUGCUCAACGCACGAACUGCAUUUGAAACUGUUGGUCUUGAGUAUCGGAGAGGAAGGCGGAAUUCCUGGUGUAGCGGUGAAAUGCGUAGAUAUUAGGAGGAACACCAGUGGCGAAGGCGGCCUGCUGGACGACAACUGACGGUGAGGCGCGAAAGCGUGGGGAGCAAACAGGAUUAGAUACCCUGGUAGUC